rnacentral:rRNA from 1 species
UACAGAGGUCUCAAGCGUUGUUCGGAUUCAUUGGGCGUAAAGGGUGCGUAGGCGGCGCGGUAAGUCGGGUGUGAAAUCUCGGAGCUUAACUCCGAAACUGCAUUCGAUACUGUCGUGCUUGAGGACUGGAGAGGAGACUGGAAUUUACGGUGUAGCGGUGAAAUGCGUAGAUAUCGUAAGGAAGACCAGUGGCGAAGGCGGGUCUCUGGACAGUUCCUGACGCUGAGGCGCGAAAGCUAGGGGAGCAAACAGG